AUUCCAGCUCCAAUAGCGUAUAUUAAAGUUGUUGCGGUUAAAAAGCUCGUAGUUGGAGUUCUGCCAGGUGCCACCUGUCCGCCCCAGUGGUGAGUACGUGGUGCGCAUUUGGCCCUUUCAAGGGGAGCGUAUUUGCACUUAAUUGUGUGGUGCGGGAUCCUUGACUUUUACUUUGAGGAAAUAAGAGUGUUCCAAGCAGGCUCUCGUCGUGCAUAGCUCAGCAUGGAAUAAUAGCAUUGGACCUCGAUUCUAAUCUGUUGGUUGCCAGAAGCGAGGUAAUGAUUAAUAGGGUCAGUUGGGGGUAUUCGUAUUCCGUUGUCAGAGGUGAAAUUCUUGGAUUUACGGAAGACGAACGACUGCGAAAGCAUUUACCAAGGAUGUUUUCAUCA
rnacentral:rRNA from 1 species